GAUGAACGCUGGCGGCGUGCCUAAUACAUGCAAGUCGAGCGAACAGAUGAGGAGCUUGCUCCUCUGACGUUAGCGGCGGACGGGUGAGUAACACGUGGAUAACCUACCUAUAAGACGGGGAUAACUUCGGGAAACCGGAGCUAAUACCGGAUAAUAUAUUGAACCGCAUGGUUCAAUAGUGAAAGACGGUUUUGCUGUCACUUAUAGAUGGAUCCGCGCCGCAUUAGCUAGUUGGUAAGGUAACGGCUUACCAAGGCAACGAUGCGUAGCCGACCUGAGAGGGUGAUCGGCCACACUGGAACUGAGACACGGUCCAGACUCCUACGGGAGGCAGCAGUAGGGAAUCUUCCGCAAUGGGCGAAAGCCUGACGGAGCCACGCCGCGUGAGUGAUGAAGGUCUUCGGAUCGUAAAACUCUGUUAUUAGGGAAGAACAAAUGUGUAAGUAACUAUGCACGUCUUGACGGUACCUAAUCAGAAAGCCACGGCUAACUACGUG
rnacentral:rRNA from 1 species